GAGUUUGAUUAUGGCUCAGAUUGAACGCUGGCGGCAGGCUUAACACAUGCAAGUCGAACGGAAGUUACUAGCUUGCUAGUAACUUUAGUGGCGAACGGGUGAGUAACAUUUAGGAAUCUGCCUCAUAACGGGGGAUAGCUCGGGGAAACUCGAAUUAAUACCGCAUACACCCUACGGGGGAAAGGUGGCGCAAGCUGCCGAUAUGAGAUGAGCCUAAAUCAGAUUAGCUAGAUGGUGGGGUAAAGGCCUACCAUGGCGACGAUCUGUAACUGGUCUGAGAGGAUGAUCAGUCACACCGGAACUGAGACACGGUCCGGACUCCUACGGGAGGCAGCAGUGGGGAAUAUUGGACAAUGGGCGAAAGCCUGAUCCAGCCAUGCCGCGUGUGAAGAAGGCCAUAAGGUUGUAAAGCACUUUAAGCAGGGAGGAAGAACUUUUAGUUAAUAGCUAAAAGUGGUGACGUUACCUGCAG
rnacentral:rRNA from 1 species